rnacentral:rRNA from 1 species
ACGCGAGCUGGGUUUAGAACGUCGUGAGACAGUUCGGUCCCUAUCUGCCGUGGACGUUUGAGAUUUGAGAGGGGCUGCUCCUAGUACGAGAGGACCGGAGUGGACGAACCUCUGGUGUUCCGGUUGUCACGCCAGUGGCAUUGCCGGGUAGCUAUGUUCGGAAAAGAUAACCGCUGAAAGCAUCUAAGCGGGAAACUUGCCUCAAGAUGAGAUCUCACUGGAACCUUGAGUUCCCUAAAGGGCCGUCGAAGACUACGACGUUGAUAGGUUGGGUGUGUAAGCGCUGUGAGGCGUUGAGCUAACCAAUACUAAUUGCCCGUGAGGCUUGACCAUAUAACACCCAAGCAAUU